rnacentral:ncRNA from 1 species
GGGGGUAUGGUUGCAAAGCUGAAACUUAAAGGAACUGACAGAAGGGCACCACCAGGAGUGAAGCCUGCGGCUUAAUUUGACUCAACACAGGGAAACCUCACCUGGCCCGCACACGGACAGGAUUGACACAUUGAUAGCUCUUUCUCGAUUCCGUGGGUGGUGGUGCAUGGCCGUUCUUAGUUGGUGGAGCCAUCUGUCUGGUUAAUUCCGAUAACGAACGAGACUCUGGCAUGCUAACUAGUUACGCGACACCCCCAGUGGUCGGCGUCUCCCAACUUCUUAGAGGGACAAGUGGCAUUCAGCCACCCAAGACUGAGCAGUAACAGGUCUGUGAUGCCCUUAGAUGUCCAGACUGCACGCCUAUACUGACUGGCUCAGCGUCAUCCAGCUGCUCAACUGCCCCCCCCACCCCCCGCCCCCCGGCCCUGAAGUGCCUGCAAUUUACCUCCGGAGACAUAUGCAUUGUAAAGCUUGUGAUCAAACCUUGUAUGGUAACUUUUUCCUUGUGAUCA